CUACGGGUCGCAGCAGUGGGGAAUAUUGCACAAUGGAGGAAACUCUGAUGCAGCAACGCCGCGUGGAGGAUGACACUUUUCGGAGCGUAAACUCCUUUUAUAUAGGAAGAUAAUGACGGUACUAUAUGAAUAAGCACCGGCUAACUCCGUGCCAGCAGCCGCGGUAAUACGGAGGGUGCAAGCGUUACUCGGAAUCACUGGGCGUAAAGAGCGUGUAGGCGGAUAGAUAAGUCAGGAGUGAAAUCCUAUGGCUCAACCAUAGAACUGCUCUUGAAACUGUCUAUCUAGAAUAUGGGAGAGGUAGAUGGAAUUUCUGGUGUAGGGGUAAAAUCCGUAGAGAUCAGAAGGAAUACCGAUUGCGAAGGCGAUCUACUGGAACAUUAUUGACGCUGAGACGCGAAAGCGUGGGGAGCAAACAGGAUUAGAUACCCUCGUAGUC
rnacentral:rRNA from 1 species